rnacentral:rRNA from 3 species
GGCGAGGGGAGUGAAAAAGAACCUGAAACCGUGUACGUACAAGCAGUGGGAGCACAGGUUUACCUGUGUGACUGCGUACCUUUUGUAUAAUGGGUCAGCGACUUAUAUUCUGUAGCAAGGUUAACCGUAUAGGGGAGCCGGAGGGAAACCGAGUCUUAACCGGGCGUUAAGUUGCAGGGUAUAGACCCGAAACCCGGUGAUCUAGCCAUGGGCAGGUUGAAGGUUGGGUAACACUAACUGGAGGACCGAACCGAC